GCCUCGCUCGCUCAAUCGGUAUAGAGCGUGAGACUCUCAGUCUUAAGGUUGCGGGUUCGACCCCCGCGUGGGACU